rnacentral:rRNA from 1 species
GGGUUGUGAGGUUAAGCGACUAAGCGUACACGGUGGAUGCCCUGGCAGUCAGAGGCGAUGAAGGACGUGCUAAUCUGCGAUAAGCGUCGGUAAGGUGAUAUGAACCGUUAUAACCGGCGAUUUCCGAAUGGGGAAACCCAGUGUGAUUCGUCACACUAUCAUUAACUGAAUCCAUAGGUUAAUGAGGCGAACCGGGGGAACUGAAACAUCUAAGUACCCCGAGGAAAAGAAAUCAACCGAGAUUCCCCCAGUAGCGGCGAGCGAACGGGGAGCAGCCCAGAGCCUGAAUCAGUGUGUGUGUUAGUGGAAGCGUCUGGAAAGGCGCGCGAUACAGGGUGACAGCCCCGUACACAAAAAUGCACAUACUGUGAGCUCGAUGAGUAGGGCGGGACACGUGGUAUCCUGUCUGAAUAUGGGGGGACCAUCCUCCAAGGCUAAAUACUCCUGACUGACCGAUAGUGAACCAGUACCGUGAGGGAAAGGCGAAAAGAACCCCGGCGAGGGGAGUGAAAAAGAACCUGAAACCGUGUACGUACAAGCAGUGGGAGCCUCUUAAUGGGGUGACUGCGUACCUUUUGUAUAAUGGGUCAGCGACUUAUAUUCUGUAGCAAGGUUAACCGAAUAGGGGAGCCGAAGGGAAACCGAGUCUUAACUGGGCGUUAAGUUGCAGGGUAUAGACCCGAAACCCGGUGAUCUAGCCAUGGGCAGGUUGAAGGUUGGGUAACACUAACUGGAGGACCGAACCGACUAAUGUUGAAAAAUUAGCGGAUGACUUGUGGCUGGGGGUGAAAGGCCAAUCAAACCGGGAGAUAGCUGGUUCUCCCCGAAAGCUAUUUAGGUAGCGCCUCGUGAAUUCAUCUCCGGGGGUAGAGCACUGUUUCGGCAAGGGGGUCAUCCCGACUUACCAACCCGAUGCAAACUGCGAAUACCGGAGAAUGUUAUCACGGGAGACACACGGCGGGUGCUAACGUCCGUCGUGAAGAGGGAAACAACCCAGACCGCCAGCUAAGGUCCCAAAGUCAUGGUUAAGUGGGAAACGAUGUGGGAAGGCCCAGACAGCCAGGAUGUUGGCUUAGAAGCAGCCAUCAUUUAAAGAAAGCGUAAUAGCUCACUGGUCGAGUCGGCCUGCGCGGAAGAUGUAACGGGGCUAAACCAUGCACCGAAGCUGCGGCAGCGACGCUUAUGCGUUGUUGGGUAGGGGAGCGUUCUGUAAGCCUGCGAAGGUGUGCUGUGAGGCAUGCUGGAGGUAUCAGAAGUGCGAAUGCUGACAUAAGUAACGAUAAAGCGGGUGAAAAGCCCGCUCGCCGGAAGACCAAGGGUUCCUGUCCAACGUUAAUCGGGGCAGGGUGAGUCGACCCCUAAGGCGAGGCCGAAAGGCGUAGUCGAUGGGAAACAGGUUAAUAUUCCUGUACUUGGUGUUACUGCGAAGGGGGGACGGAGAAGGCUAUGUUGGCCGGGCGACGGUUGUCCCGGUUUAAGCGUGUAGGCUGGUUUUCCAGGCAAAUCCGGAAAAUCAAGGCUGAGGCGUGAUGACGAGGCACUACGGUGCUGAAGCAACAAAUGCCCUGCUUCCAGGAAAAGCCUCUAAGCAUCAGGUAACAUCAAAUCGUACCCCAAACCGACACAGGUGGUCAGGUAGAGAAUACCAAGGCGCUUGAGAGAACUCGGGUGAAGGAACUAGGCAAAAUGGUGCCGUAACUUCGGGAGAAGGCACGCUGAUAUGUAGGUGAAGCGACUUGCUCGUGGAGCUGAAAUCAGUCGAAGAUACCAGCUGGCUGCAACUGUUUAUUAAAAACACAGCACUGUGCAAACACGAAAGUGGACGUAUACGGUGUGACGCCUGCCCGGUGCCGGAAGGUUAAUUGAUGGGGUUAGCGGUAACGCGAAGCUCUUGAUCGAAGCCCCGGUAAACGGCGGCCGUAACUAUAACGGUCCUAAGGUAGCGAAAUUCCUUGUCGGGUAAGUUCCGACCUGCACGAAUGGCGUAAUGAUGGCCAGGCUGUCUCCACCCGAGACUCAGUGAAAUUGAACUCGCUGUGAAGAUGCAGUGUACCCGCGGCAAGACGGAAAGACCCCGUGAACCUUUACUAUAGCUUGACACUGAACAUUGAGCCUUGAUGUGUAGGAUAGGUGGGAGGCUUUGAAGUGUGGACGCCAGUCUGCAUGGAGCCGACCUUGAAAUACCACCCUUUAAUGUUUGAUGUUCUAACGUUGGCCCCUAAUCGGGGUUGCGGACAGUGUCUGGUGGGUAGUUUGACUGGGGCGGUCUCCUCCUAAAGAGUAACGGAGGAGCACGAAGGUUGGCUAAUCCUGGUCGGACAUCAGGAGGUUAGUGCAAUGGCAUAAGCCAGCUUGACUGCGAGCGUGACGGCGCGAGCAGGUGCGAAAGCAGGUCAUAGUGAUCCGGUGGUUCUGAAUGGAAGGGCCAUCGCUCAACGGAUAAAAGGUACUCCGGGGAUAACAGGCUGAUACCGCCCAAGAGUUCAUAUCGACGGCGGUGUUUGGCACCUCGAUGUCGGCUCAUCACAUCCUGGGGCUGAAGUAGGUCCCAAGGGUAUGGCUGUUCGCCAUUUAAAGUGGUACGCGAGCUGGGUUUAGAACGUCGUGAGACAGUUCGGUCCCUAUCUGCCGUGGGCGCUGGAGAACUGAGGGGGGCUGCUCCUAGUACGAGAGGACCGGAGUGGACGCAUCACUGGUGUUCGGGUUGUCAUGCCAAUGGCACUGCCCGGUAGCUAAAUGCGGAAGAGAUAAGUGCUGAAAGCAUCUAAGCACGAAACUUGCCCCGAGAUGAGUUCUCCCUGACUCCUUGAGAGUCCUGAAGGAACGUUGAAGACGACGACGUUGAUAGGCCGGGUGUGUAAGCGCAGCGAUGCGUUGAGCUAACCGGUACUAAUGAACCGUGAGGCUUAACCUUACAACGCCGAAG